rnacentral:misc_RNA from 1 species
GAUGAAGAACGCAGUGAAAUGCGAUAAGUAGUGUGAAUUGCAGAAUUCAGUGAAUCAUCGAAUCUUUGAACGCACAUUGCGCCCGCUGGUAUUCCGGCGGGCAUGCCUGUUCGAGCGUCAUUUCAACCCUCAAGCCCCCGGGUUUGGUGUUGGGGAUCGGCUCUGCCUUACGGCGGUGCCGCCCCCGAAAUACAUUGGCGGUCUCGCUGCAGCCUCCAUUGCGUAGUAGCUAACACCUCGCAACUGGAACGCGGCGCGGCCAUGCCGUAAAACCCCAACUUCUGAAUGUUGACCUCGGAUCAGGUAGGAAUACCCGCUGAACUUAAGCAUAUCAAUAAGCGGAGGA